UAACUUAGGGAGAAGGGGUGCCUACGAGAGUAGGCCGCAGUGAAUAGGCUCAAGCAACUGUUUAUCAAAAACACAGGUCUCUGCUAAAGCGUAAGCUGAUGUAUAGGGGCUGACGCCUGCCCGGUGCUGGAAGGUUAAGGGGAAUAGUUAGCGCAAGCGAAGCUAUGAACUUAAGCCCCAGUAAACGGCGGCCGUAACUAUAACGGUCCUAAGGUAGCGAAAUUCCUUGUCGGGUAAGUUCCGACCCGCACGAAUGGCGUAAUGAUUUGAGCACUGUCUCGGCAAUAAAUCCGGUGAAAUUGUAGUGCAAGUGAAGAUGCUUGCUACCCGCGGUUGGACGGAAAGACCCCGUAGAGCUUUACUGUAGCUUAGCAUUGAAUUUCGGUAUUGUCUGUACAGGAUAGGUGGGAGACUUAGAAGCGAGGGCGUCAGCUUUCGUGGAGUCGUCCUUGGGAUACCACCCUGACAGUACUGGAAUUCUAACUGGAGGCCAUGAAUCUGGUCACAGGACAUUGCUAGGUGGGCAGUUUGACUGGGGCGGUCGCCGCCUAAAAGGUAACGGAGGCGCCCAAAGGUUCCCUCAGCGCGGUCGGAAAUCGCGCGUAGAGUGCAAAGGCAGAAGGGAGCCUGACUGCGACACAUACAGGUGGAGCAGGGACGAAAGUCGGGCUUAGUGAUCCGGUGGUUCUGUAUGGAAGGGCCAUCGCUCAACGGAUAAAAGCUACCUCGGGGAUAACAGGCUGAUCUCCCCCAAGAGUCCAC
rnacentral:rRNA from 1 species